AUGCUGGCAUCACAGACAGAGGCUUUACCUGCUAUAACACAACAUGGGCUCCAAAGGUCAGAAUUUCUAAAAGCUAGAGUUCCCAGAAGUGGGGAAACACCUCCAGUUCAGUAUCUUUACAAUCACAACAUUGGACAGACAAGCUCUGAUUUCUAUUUUGCAUUAUCCUUCAUAAAUCUCUGGAUUUCUUUGGAUUGCUGGGUUGCUCACAAAGAGCUGCCCAGUGGUGUGUUUCUAUUUUCUUUUAUUUAUUUUAAAGUAAUACUUUACAAGCCCUUGGCUUGAAAAUAUUUCAAUAACAUCUGCCUAUUCAAUACUAUAAAGUAAGAUGACUCUGCUCAGCUCUCCUUUAUGGUAGGCUUUGAGAAGUAUCUUUCUGAUCACUUUCUUUCUUCUCUCUCUCUUUUUUUAACAGUAGUGGUUUUCCCCAAAGCCCUUUGGGAUGGUUACUGUGAGAUCCAGUUGGUGAGCAGUUAUGGUGUUAAGAAAGGUGAUGGGAACAUUCCUAUUUAGUCAUGGACCUUGACCAUGAGACGGUGGCAGUGGCUUUGUAUCUCACUGCGUUUGCAGCCCAUGCUGAGGGAAUGCCAACUGUGCCAGGGGUUGGAGCUGCCCACUGGAGUACUCCAGUGACCCUGGGGUGGUGGAUCUCUUCCCUAGAUUCUCCUGUUGGCUGAAAGGGGAGUUAGGCCCAGCGCGGAGCUCCUGUCUCUUCCUCACGUGUUAAGAGCCCCCUAAUUCCUCAGUCCACAUGUACCUAAUGACACACGAUCAACCUCAGUCUGCGGGUUCUCCUUACAUUCUGGCAGUGAACAAAUCAAGUCGAUUUACCAGCCUAGAGGAGGAAUGCGGCCAUUUUCCUCUAGUCUGGAGGAACCACUUUAUGUCACGUUCUUCCCCUAUGUUUCCCUCUUAAGAGGGCAGCACAGCUCACAGUCAGUGCCACCGAGUGAACACUAGGCAGCUCUGCCUGAGGAGCACAGAAGUGUCAUCUUCAGUCCUCCAGGGAAGCUGGCCCCAUUCAAAAGCAGAGAGCUGGGGCAGGAGCUGUGGCGAACCGGCUUAAAGCCCCGGCCUACAGCGCCGGCAUCCCAUAUGGGCGCUGGUUCGAGUCCCAGCUGCUCCUCUUCUGAUCCAGCUCUCUGCUAUGGCCUGGGAAAGCAGUAGAAGAUGCCCAAGUCCUUGGACCCCUGCACCCACGUGGGAGACCCAGAGGAAGCUCCUGGCUCCUGGCUUCGGGUCGGCAUAGCUCCAGCCGUUGAGGCUAUCUGGGGAGUGAACCAGCAGAUAGAAGGAACACCUCUGCCUCUCCUUCUCUCUCUGUGUAACUCUUUCAAGUAAAUAAAUAAAUCUUAAAAAAAAAAAAAAAGAGGCA
rnacentral:lncRNA from 1 species